rnacentral:rRNA from 1 species
AUGAACGCUAGCUACAGGCUUAACACAUGCAAGUCGAGGGGAAACGACAUCGAAAGCUUGCUUUUGAUGGGCGUCGACCGGCGCACGGGUGAGUAACGCGUAUCCAACCUGCCCACCACUUGGGGAUAACCUUGCGAAAGUAAGACUAAUACCCAAUGACGUCUCUAGAAGACAUCUGAAAGAGAUUAAAGAUUUAUCGGUGAUGGAUGGGGAUGCGUCUGAUUAGCUUGUUGGCGGGGUAACGGCCCACCAAGGCGACGAUCAGUAGGGGUUCUGAGAGGAAGGUCCCCCACAUUGGAACUGAGACACGGUCCAAACUCCUACGGGAGGCAGCAGUGAGGAAUAUUGGUCAAUGGACGAGAGUCUGAACCAGCCAAGUAGCGUGCAGGAUGACGGCCCUAUGGGUUGUAAACUGCUUUUAUAAGGGAAUAAAGUGAGUCUCGUGAGACUUUUUGCAUGUACCUUAUGAAUAAGGACCGGCUAAUUCCGUGCCAGCAGCCGCGGUAAUACGGAAGGUCCGGGCGUUAUCCGGAUUUAUUGGGUUUAAAGGGAGCGUAGGCCGGAGAUUAAGCGUGUUGUGAAAUGUAGACGCUCAACGUCUGCACUGCAGCGCGAACUGGUUUCCUUGAGUACGCACAAAGUGGGCGGAAUUCGUGGUGUAGCGGUGAAAUGCUUAGAUAUCACGAAGAACUCCGAUUGCGAAGGCAGCUCACUGGAGCGCACCUGACGCUGAAGCUCGAAAGUGCGGGUAUCGAACAGGAUUAGAUACCCUGGUAGUCCGCACGGUAAACGAUGGAUGCCCGCUGUUGGUCUGAAUAGGUCAGCGGCCAAGCGAAAGCAUUAAGCAUCCCACCUGGGGAGUACGCCGGCAA